rnacentral:rRNA from 1 species
UUGCUUCUCUUGAGAGCGGCGGACGGGUGAGUAAUGCCUAGGAAUCUGCCUGGUAGUGGGGGAUAACGUUCGGAAACGGACGCUAAUACCGCAUACGUCCUACGGGAGAAAGCAGGGGACCUUCGGGCCUUGCGCUAUCAGAUGAGCCUAGGUCGGAUUAGCUAGUUGGUGGGGUAAUGGCUCACCAAGGCGACGAUCCGUAACUGGUCUGAGAGGGUGAUCAGUCACACUGGAACUGAGACACGGUCCAGACUCCUACGGGAGGCAGCAGUGGGGAAUAUUGGACAAUGGGCGAAAGCCUGAUCCAGCCAUGCCGCGUGUGUGAAGAAGGUCUUCGGAUUGUAAAGCACUUUAAGUUGGGAGGAAGGGUUGUAGAUUAAUACUCUGCAAUUUUGACGUUACCGACAGAAUAAGCACCGGCUAACUCUGUGCCAGCAGCCGCGGUAAUACAGAGGGUGCAAGCGUUAAUCGGAAUUACUGGGCGUAAAGCGCGCGUAGGUGGUUUGUUAAGUUGGAUGUGAAAUCCCCGGGCUCAACCUGGGAACUGCAUUCAAAACUGACUGACUAGAGUAUGGUAGAGGGUGGUGGAAUUUCCUGUGUAGCGGUGAAAUGCGUA